AGCGAGUAAGACAGACUCUUCAGUCUGAGUUUGUGGAGAUGAGUGUAAAUCUGGCAUAGCAUACAGGUUA
rfam:Tomato bushy stunt virus complete genome.